rnacentral:rRNA from 1 species
GACGAACGCUUGCGGCGUGCUUAACACAUGCAAGUCGAGCGGAGCGGCGAACGGGAGAGUAACGCGUGAGUAACUGCCCCCCUCUCUGGGAUAACAUUUGGGAACGGCUGCUAAUACCGGAACGUGGGGGCUGACUCGCGUCGGAUCAGCUUGUUGGUGGGGUAGUGGCCUACCAAGGCGACGAUGGGUAGCCGGCCUGAGAGGUGGACCGGCCACCUUGGGCUGAGAUACGGCCCAAACUCCUACGGGAGGCAGCAGUGGGGAAGAUUGCCCAAUGGGGGAAACCCUGAUGCAGCAACGCCGCGUGCGGGAUGACGGCCUUCGGGUUGUAAACCGCUGUCAGCCAUGACGCGGUAGUGGCAGAAGAAGCACCGGCUAACUACGUGCCAGCCGCCGCGGUAAUAC